CGGGUGAGUAACACGUGGGUAACCUGCCCAUCAGAAGGGGAUAACACUUGGAAACAGGUGCUAAUACCGUAUAACAAUCGAAACCGCAUGGUUUUGAUUUGAAAGGCGCUUUCGGGUGUCGCUGAUGGAUGGACCCGCGGUGCAUUAGCUAGUUGGUGAGGUAACGGCUCACCAAGGCGACGAUGCAUAGCCGACCUGAGAGGGUGAUCGGCCACAUUGGGACUGAGACACGGCCCAAACUCCUACGGGAGGCAGCAGUAGGGAAUCUUCGGCAAUGGACGAAAGUCUGACCGAGCAACGCCGCGUGAGUGAAGAAGGUUUUCGGAUCGUAAAACUCUGUUGUUAGAGAAGAACAAGGAUGGGGAGUAACUGUUCAUCCCUUGACGGUAUCUAACCAGAAAGCCACGGCUAACUACGUGCCAGCAGCCGCGGUAAUACGUAGGUGGCAAGCGUUGUCCGGAUUUAUUGGGCGUAAAGCGAGCGCAGGCGGUUUCUUAAGUCUGAUGUGAAAGCCCCCGGCUCAACCGGGGAGGGUCAUUGGAAACUGGGAGACUUGAGUGCAGAAGAGGAGAGUGGAAUUCCAUGUGUAGCGGUGAAAUGCGUAGAUAUAUGGAGGAACACCAGUGGCGAAGGCGGCUCUCUGGUCUGUAACUGACGCUGAGGCUCGAAAGCGUGGGGAGCAAACAGGAUUAGAUACCCUGGUAGUCCACGCCGUAAACGAUGAGUGCUAAGUGUUGGAGGGUUUCCGCCCUUCAGUGCUGCAGCUAACGCAUUAAGCACUCCGCCUGGGGAGUACGACCGCAAGGUUGAAACUCAAAGGAAUUGACGGGGGCCCGCACAAGCGGUGGAGCAUGUGGUUUAAUUCGAAGCAACGCGAAGAACCUUACCAGGUCUUGACAUCCUUUGACCACUCUAGAGAUAGAGCUUCCCCUUCGGGGGCAAAGUGACAGGUGGUGCAUGGUUGUCGUCAGCUCGUGUCGUGAGAUGUUGGGUUAAGUCCCGCAACGAGCGCAACCCUUAUUGUUAGUUGCCAUCAUUUAGUUGGGCACUCUAGCAAGACUGCCGGUGACAAACCGGAGGAAGGUGGGGAUGACGUCAAAUCAUCAUGCCCCUUAUGACCUGGGCUACACACGUGCUACAAUGGGAAGUACAACGAGUCGCAAAGUCGCGAGGCUAAGCUAAUCUCUUAAAGCUUCUCUCAGUUCGGAUUGUAGGCUGCAACUCGCCUACAUGAAGCCGGAAUCGCUAGUAAUCGCGGAUCAGCACGCCGCGGUGAAUACGUUCCCGGGCCUUGUACACACCGCCCGUCACACCACGAGAGUUUGUAACACCCG
rnacentral:rRNA from 1 species